UAAAAGUCGUAACAAGGUUUCCGUAGGUGAACCUGCGGAAGGAUCAUUACCGAGUGAGGGCCCUUUGGGUCCAACCUCCCACCCGUGUUUAUUUUACCUUGUUGCUUCGGCGGGCCCGCCUUUACUGGCCGCCGGGGGGCUCACGCCCCCGGGCCCGCGCCCGCCGAAGACACCCUCGAACUCUGUCUGAAGAUUGAAGUCUGAGUGAAAAUAUAAAUUAUUUAAAACUUUCAACAACGGAUCUCUUGGUUCCGGCAUCGAUGAAGAACGCAGCGAAAUGCGAUACGUAAUGUGAAUUGCAAAUUCAGUGAAUCAUCGAGUCUUUGAACGCACAUUGCGCCCCCUGGUAUUCCGGGGGGCAUGCCUGUCCGAGCGUCAUUGCUGCCCUCAAGCCCGGCUUGUGUGUUGGGCCCCGUCCUCCGAUUCCGGGGGACGGGCCCGAAAGGCAGCGGCGGCACCGCGUCCGGUCCUCGAGCGUAUGGGGCUUUGUCACCCGCUCUGUAGGCCCGGCCGGCGCUUGCCG
rnacentral:rRNA from 1 species